AUUUAAACAAAGACAUAUAUAAAAAAGACAAUCAUUGCGUAAUAUUAUUGUUUUAGUAUUGGCAUUAUUAAAUAUUAGCUACAUGCCAGUUAAAUACCUUAGAUGGGCAAAUAAUCUUGCAAGAACAGACACAAACUAAUUACUGCUAAUAAAUUUUAAUUCAAUGUCUCCGUAAUUGUAUUAAAUGUACAAUACUUGGGUUAUGUAGUUUCCUUAACAAAAUAGACAUUUCAAUAUUCAUCUACAACCCUGUAAAACAUAUCUAUCCAUUCCCAUGUGUAUCACCUGUGUGAUAACUUAUCAAUCCAUUCCAUGUAGGUUCACCUGUGUGAUAACUUCUCAAUCUCUUCCCAUGUAGGUUUACCUGUGUGAUACAUGUAACUUAUCAAUUCAUUCCCAUGUAGGUUCACCUGUGUGAUAACUUCUCAAUCUCUUCCCGUGUAGGUUCACCUGUGUGAUACAUGAUACUUAUCAAUCCAUUCCCAUAUAGGUUCACCUGUGUGAUACAUGUUACCUAUCAAUCCAUACCCAUGUAGGUUCACCUGUGUGAUACAUCUAACUUAUCAAUCUAAUCCCAUGUAGGUUCACCUGUGUGAUAACUUAUCAAUCCAUUCCCAUGUAGGUUCACCUGUGUGAUACAUGUAACUUAUCAAUCCAAUCCCAUGUAGGUUCACCUGUGUGAUACAUGUAACUUAUCAAUCCAUACCAAUGUAUGUUCACCUGUGUGAUAACUUAUCAAUCCAUACCCAUGUAGGUUCACCUAUGUGAUAACUUAUCAAUCCAAUCCCAUGUAGGUUCACCUGUGUGAUAACUUAUCAAUCCAUUCCCAUGUAGGUUCACCUGUGUGAUACAUGUAACUUAUCAAUCCAAUCCCAUGUAGGUUCACCUGUGUGAUACAUGUAACUUAUCAAUCCAAUCCCAUGUAGGUUCACCUGUGUGAUACAUGUAACUUAUCAAUCUAAUCCCAUGUAGGUUCACCUGUGUGAUACAUGUAACUUAUCAAUCCAUUUCCUUGUAGAUUCACAUGUGUGAUAACUAGGGAUGCAAGAGGUUACACAAAUGAUUAACCGGUUAACCUUUUUCCGUAACCGGUUAUUAACCGGUUAAUCGAAACGCCUAAAGUAGUUAAAAUCAUUUAGAGUACGUAAAAUAUGUCAUACC